rnacentral:rRNA from 1 species
AGAGUUUGAUCAUGGCUUAGAUUGAACGCUGGUGGCAUGCUUAACACAUGCAAGUCGAACGGUAACAGGUCUUCGGAUGCUGACGAGUGGCGGACGGGUGAGUAACGCGUAGGAAUCUGCCCAUCUGUGGGGGAUACCAGUUGGAAACGACUGUUAAUACCGCAUAAUAUCUGCGGAUUAAAGGUGGCCUUUGCGCUGCCGCAGAUGGAUGAGCCUGCGUUGGAUUAGCUAGUUGGUGGGGUAAGGGCCUACCAAGGCUACGAUCCAUAGCUGAUUUGAGAGGAUGAUCAGCCACGUUGGGACUGAGACACGGCCCAAACUCCUACGGGAGGCAGCAGUGGGGAAUAUUGGACAAUGGGGGAAACCCUGAUCCAGCAAUGCCAUGUGUGUGAAGAAGGCUCUAGGGUUGUAAAGCACUUUAGUUGGGGAGGAAAGCCUGUGAGUUAAUAGCUUGCAGGAAGGACGUUGCCCAAAGAAUAAGGACCGGCUAACUCCGUGCCAGCAGCCGCGGUAAUACGGGGGGUCCGAGCGUUAAUCGGAAUUACUGGGCGUAAAGGGUCUGUAGGUGGUUUGUUAAGUCAGAUGUGAAAGCCCAGGGCUCAACCUUGGAACUGCAUUUGAUACUGACAAACUAGAGUAUGGUAGAGGAAUAGGGAACUUCUGGUGUAGCGGUGAAAUGCGUAGAGAUCAGAAGGAACACCAAUGGCGAAGGCAACAUUCUGGACCAAUACUGACACUGAGGGACGAAAGCGUGGGGAUCAAACAGGAUUAGAUACCCUGGUAGUCCACGCUGUAAACGAUGAGUACUAGCUGUUGGAUUCGGUGUAAAGGAUCUAGUGGCGCAGCUAACGCGUUAAGUACUCCGCCUGGGGACUACGGCCGCAAGGCUAAAACUCAAAGGAAUUGACGGGGACCCGCACAAGCGGUGGAGCAUGUGGUUUAAUUCGAUGCAACGCGAAGAACCUUACCUGGUCUUGACAUCCUGCGAACUUUCUAGAGAUAGAUUGGUGCCUUCGGGAACGCAGUGACAGGUGCUGCACGGCUGUCGUCAGCUCGUGUUGUGAAAUGUUGGGUUAAGUCCCGCAACGAGCGCAACCCCUAUUGAUAGUUACCAUCAUUAAGUUGGGUACUCUAUUGAGACUGCCGCUGACAAGGCGGAGGAAGGUGGGGACGACGUCAAGUCAUCAUGGCCCUUACGACCAGGGCUACACACGUGCUACAAUGGGUAUUACAGAGGGCUGCGAAGGUGCGAGCUGGAGCGAAACUCAGAAAGGUACUCUUAGUCCGGAUUGCAGUCUGCAACUCGACUGCAUGAAGUCGGAAUCGCUAGUAAUCGCAGGUCAGAAUACUGCGGUGAAUACGUUCCCGGGUCUUGUACACACCGCCCGUCACACCAUGGGAGUGGGUUGCUCCAGAAGUAGAUAGCUUAACGAAUGGGCGUUUACCACGGAGUGAUUCAUAACUGGGGUGAAGUCGUAACAAGGUAGCCGUAGGGGAACCUGCGGCUGGAUCACCCCCUU